rnacentral:rRNA from 1 species
ACCAGACUCCUACGGGAGGCAGCAGUGGGGGAUAUUGCACAAUGGGGGGAACCCUGAUGCAGCGACGCCGCGUGGGUGAAGGAGCGUUUCGGCGCGUAAAGCCCUAUCGGCAGGGAAGAAGGAGGACGGUACCUGACUAAGAAGCCCCGGCUAACUACGUGCCAGCAGCCGCGGUAAUACGUAGGGGGCAAGCGUUAUCCGGAUUUACUGGGUGUAAAGGGGGCGCAGACGGCAGCGCAAGCCAGGAGUGGAAGCCCGGGGCCCAACCCCGGGACUGCUCUUGGAACUGCGUGGCUAGAGUGCAGGAGGGGCAGGCGGAAUUCCUGGUGUAGCGGUGAAAUGCGUAGAUAUCAGGAGGAACACCGGUGGCGAAGGCGGCCUGCUGGACUGCAACUGACACUGAGGCUCGAAAGUGUGGGUAUCAAACAGGAUUAGAUACCCCUGUAC